rnacentral:rRNA from 1 species
AUUGAACGCUGGCGGCAGGCCUAACACAUGCAUGUCGAGCGGGGUUUUCGGACCUAGCGGCGGACGGGUGAGUAAUGCGUAGGAAGCUGCCCGAUAGAGGGGGAUACCAGUUGGAAACGACUGUUAAUACCGCAUAAUGUCUACGGACCAAAGUGUGGGACCUUCGGGCCACAUGCUAUCGGAUGCGCCUACGUGGGAUUAGCUAGUUGGUGAGGUAAUGGCUCACCAAGGCGACGAUCUCUAGCUGGUUUGAGAGGAUGAUCAGCCACACUGGAACUGAGACACGGUCCAGACUCCUACGGGAGGCAGCAGUGGGGAAUAUUGGACAAUGGGCGCAAGCCUGAUCCAGCCAUGCCGCGUGUGUGAAGAAGGCCUUCGGGUUGUAAAGCACUUUCAGCGAGGAGGAAGGGUGGUGUGUUAAUAGCACAUCAUUUUGACGUUACUCGCAGAAGAAGCACCGGCUACCUCUGUGCCAGCCGCCGCCGUAAAAC